rnacentral:rRNA from 1 species
CCUACGGGAGGCAGCAGUAGGGAAUCUUCCACAAUGGGCGCAAGCCUGAUGGAGCAACGCCGCGUGGGUGAAGAAGGUCUUCGGAUCGUAAAACCCUGUUUUUAGAGAAGAAAGUGCGUGAGAGUAACUCUUCACGUUUCGACGGUAUCUAACCAGAGAGCCACGGCUAACUACGUUCCAGCAGCCGCGGUAAUACGGGGGUGGCAAGCGUUAUCCGGAUUUAUUGGGCGUAAAGGGCACGCAGGCGGUCUUUUAAGUCUGAUGUGAAAGCCUUCGGCUUAACCGGAGUAGUGCAUUGGAAACUGGGAGACUUGAGUGCAGAAGAGGAGUGUGGAAUUCCAGGUGUAGCGGUGAAAUGCGUAGAUAUAUGGAAGAACACCAGUGGCGAAGGCGGCUCUCUGGUCUGUAACUGACGCUGAGGUUCGAAAGCGUGGGUAGCAAACAGGAUUAGAUACCCGUGUAGUC